CUUGAGAGUUUGAUCCUGGCUCAGAACGAACGCUGGCGGCAUGCUUAACACAUGCAAGUCGAACGAGAUCUUCGGAUCUAGUGGCGCACGGGUGCGUAACGCGUGGGGAUCUACCAUAGGGUGCGGAAUAACUCAGAGAAAUUUGUGCUAAUACCGCAUAAUGUCUUCGGACCAAAGAUUUAUCGCCCUUUGAUGAACCCGCGUAGGAUUAGCUUGUUGGUGAGGUAAGAGCUCACCAAGGCGACGAUCUUUAGCUGGUCUGAGAGGAUGAUCA
rnacentral:rRNA from 1 species